GUCUCGUUGGUGACCAGCGGAGGGAUCAUU
rnacentral:rRNA from 2 species